AGGAGAAUUGUAUAAGGAUAUUUGGUAGGUGGGAGGUUUGAGAAUAAUCAAAAAGUGGCUAUUCCAGAGAUAGGUAUAAAUUGAGGUAUAAGCGGGGAUUAGAUUAUCUUUGCGUUUGGAUGAAAAUUGGGUUAUUUCUGAGAAUAAAAAAAUAGCGUUUGGUUAGAUAAGAUAGAAUAAGAAGGAUAGUAGGUUUUAUAAAUAAAAAGUAAUUAUAUUAUUCUCUUAUUAUAUUUGAAUUUGAAUUUUUAAAAUUUUAAAUUUAUAUUUUUAAAUUUAAAAUUUUAACUUUGAAAUUUUAAAUUUUGAAAUUUAAAAUCUCAAAUUUUAAAUUCAAAAUUUUAAAUUUUAAAAUUCAAACUUUAAAUUUAAGAUCAAAUUUAAAUUUGAAAAAUAUAANAAAUUUUUAAUUUUUAAAAUUUUAAAAUAAAAAUAAGGGUGGGAACAAUUAAUAAAAAUAAUUUAUUAUAAUAAAUUUAUAAAUUUUUUUAAAUUCUACUUAAACUUAAAUUUAAUAAAAAGAAUUUAUUAUAAUAUUUAAAUAUAAUUUAUUAAAAAUUUUAUUAUAAUACUUAAAUAUAAAUAAUAUGUAUUAAUAUAGUACAAUUAAUAAUUUUAUAAUAAAAAUAAUGUAUUAUAAUAUAUAACAUAUUAUAUUUAUUUAAUUUAGUUUUAAUUCAAUUUAUAAUUUUAAUUAAGUUUGAAAUUAAGCAUUGGAAUAGCACUAUUCCAUCAAAAUGGUGGAAUAGCAAAUUCCUUGCUAUUCUGGGAUAAUCGGGAAUAGCAAGGUUUGACCGGAAUAAAAUAUUCCGGCCAAAUUUCACCCCGUUUGGCGGAAUAGCGGGGAUAAAUUUCGUUAUCCCCGCUUAUCCCUCGAACCAAACGGGACCAAAUAUUAUAAUUUUAUAUAUAGUAUGGUAA
rnacentral:lncRNA from 1 species